GAAAUAGUUUGACCUGAUACAAAGUUUCAUGUGCUGAAUAGACUGAUAGAAUUAUGUGGUAAUGUGUUUAGGUUAUUUUAUACUGUGAUGAUAUUAUUCUAAUAUUUGGAGAUCGGUAUUAUCUGUAUUAGGUCUUCAGAUAAAGCUAAGUUAUAUUUCGUAUCGGUAAUCAACGGUUCAGGCAAGUUCUACUUAACCCUACUAAGAGUGUUUUAUUCAGAUAUGCAUAUGGUUAAUCAUUGCUGAUUGCCAUGUUGAAUUGUACUCUAUAUAUAUUGCACGUAUAAGUCAGGUAUGAAAGGCUGAUCACCUUCAUUACCAGUUAGUCCGGAUAUAUAUAUAUUGUUCAUAUGUAAUACUUGUUCAGUCAAAAGUUUUGUUCAUGCUAAUUCACCACUACAUUGUCAAUUAUAGCCAGCUUAUUAUUCAUCCUCUUUCAAUCAUGAUAUAUCCUUAAAUUGUAUUUAAACUUGUUGGGCAACUUUCAUGCUCACCCUUGCUAUAUCAUGAUAAAACAUUGCAGAUUAAGGUGAAUGCGUCGGAUACAUGGAAAGUUAAAGACAGUUCCAGCUUAAAGUUAAUGUGCGCGAUUAGUUUUGUAAUAGUCUUGUAUGAUAAUGAGGUCAUGUGUUAGAUAAGUUAUAAAUUGUGUAUAAGUUAUGGUUACUCGACCUUGGG
rnacentral:lncRNA from 1 species